rnacentral:lncRNA from 1 species
UCCUAGUCUAUGGCAUAUUGGAAAUGGCAAAAAUAUGAAGAAGAUAAAACGGUCAGUUCUUACCAGAGUUCAGAUGAAGAGAAAAUGGGAAUGAGGAACAAGUGGAACCUCGGAUUUUUAGGGUAGUGCAAGUGCUCUGUAUGAUGCUGUAGUGGUGGAUACACAUCAUUUGUUAAAACCCAUUGAAUAGAAUGAACAAAGAAUGAACUCUAAUGGAAACUGAUUUUAAUUAAUACAAAUGCAUCGAUACUGGUUCAUUGUAAAAAUUUGCCACGCUAAAUACAAGAUUUUGUAAUAGGAAAAACUAAAGGAAGAGGGUCAUGGAACUGGAUCGAACUCGGGUCCUUGCACUUGUGAGGCAGGCAGUGGAACCACUGAGCUAAAUCCCCAGCCUGUACAUGACUUUUUAAAUGGAACCACUUGAAGUUGGAGAAACUGAGGCACAGGAACUCUUCCUGAGUUGAAGAGCUGAUAGAUGGAGAAAUCCUGUUUGGCCUUGCUCUAGAGAGAAGAGAUACCGAGAAAUGCAAUUAGGUGGAGGACCAGUGAAGCACCAGAGGUGUGAGAACGCUUCUGGACCUUCAGCCCUACCCAGGCCCCAGAAGACUGUGUCCACAUAGCUGUCUGUGCCCAUCCCACAGCAGAUGAGUCAUGUUACCCCAUAGAACUACAAACAGAGGAUGGCUACUGUUGCAAACCAUUACAUCUUGAGAUGAACUGCUUUGGAGCAAGGGUAACUGGAGCAGGUAUUCUAGGAGAGAUGCAAAGCAGAAAAAUGAUUCCCAGUCUUCACGGGAAGGCCUUAUUAUUUAAGAUUCCUGUUCAGUGCCUACUUUGAAGGUGCCAGAGAAGCAAGAAGAAUUGAGAGAAAUAAGAUCCCCUCCUUGAUCUUGUGACGGAUCAGGUUCUUGCCCUUUACUUUCUCGGUCAAGCCAAUUUAUGGACUUUCAGUAUUCCUGAGGAAUGUUGAUGGGUCUGGAAGGAAAGGAGUCUAAAUUCAGUGUAACCAAGGGAAUGGUGAUAUGGAUCGCCUCGGGCAACUUUGACUGGGUCACAGACAUUGCAGUGUUCUUAAAAGAACAAUUCUUAAAAGUGAUGAUGAUGGUAAUGAAUGAUGACAAUGACACUGCAAAAGGCAUCACUGCUAUUCUGUCAGCUAUCCACUCUGGCACACAUCACUUCAUUGUGAUGUAGGGUCCAAGGGGGUCUCCUAAGGAGGAGAUGAGGACUUCAACUCACUCCAGGCACAAGUGGCCUCAAAGUGAAAAAGAAGUGAUGCUAGCAAUUCCGAUAUGCCAAAGAGAAACUGUAAAGUGCUUCCUUUAAGUAAAAAGGGUUAUGCUCUGCUAACGCUGCCGGAAAUGACUUGGAUUAAAUGACAUGAAUCGGGAAGCCAGGGCCAUCAGAAGUGGUUUUGUGAAGAAACACAGGGAAGGUCACCAGGUCACUCUCAUCCCUUCAUUCUCUCUCUCUGAAUACCUGAUAGACUGUAAAAUAGAGCUCACCGAACGCACCAAGUCUGUGUGUACUUUCAGUAUCUAAGGAGUAAACACCCUGUGAAGUGUCAGCUGGGACCAGGAGCAUGAUUGCUACCACUGAGGCCCCCACAGAUCCCCUGUCACUGAUGCCUCCGUCCCCCCCGGGGUGCGGAAAACUUCCGUGGAAGGAGCUGUCUAAAGGGAACACGGAGUAAAGAACAUACUAUCCUUGGUCCGAGUUACUCAAAAAUAAAAAAGUUCAAAAAUAUAUAAUG